rnacentral:lncRNA from 1 species
CUGGCUAACACAGGGAAACCUCAUCUCUACUAAAAAUACAAAAAAUUAGCUGGGCAUGGUGGCGGGUGCCUGUAGUCCCAGCUACAGGCUGGGACUGAGGCAGGAGGCUCAGGAGGCUGAGGCGGGAGAAUGGCGUGAACCUGGGAGGCAGAGCGCCACUGCACUCCAGCCUGGGCGACAGAGAGAGGCUCCGUCGCAGUACCCUGUCUCCAAAAGAAAAAUGUCAGUUAUCUAUACUUUUUUUAUGCCACCAUACUUGUUUCCCCUGUUCAUCUUAUUUUGAACAAUUAGAAAACUCUGGCAAGUACUUUUUGUUUUAUUUUAUUUUUUAUUUUUUUGAGACAGUCUCUCACUCCGUCACCCAGUCUGGAAUAUAGUGGCGCCAUCUCAGCUCACUGCAACCUCUACCUCCCAAGUUCAAGCAGUUCUCAUGCCU